UAAAUAAAAUCCCCCAAAUGCUUACAUGCACCAGAAACUGCUCCUACACCCAUCCAAGCCUUUGGGCCAGGACGGGAGGAUGCUGUAACUCCUUUCAAAGCCCCAGCAAGGGUUUUCUGCUGCAGGUCCCUGCUGUGCCAUCCUCCUCUGCUAUCUGCAGGUUUGCACUAGGGUCUGUUUGCAGACACAGGAGAGCAGCCUCACGUGGACAGCGAAGCACGUAAGAGGAAGGAGAUAAACACCAGCGUUGGGUGAGGGAGCCCGCCGUGCACAGCCCUGGAUAAUAUGAGUCUGUGUCCCUUCUGCAGCCCCCCGCACACACUGCCCCUUGCCCGUCAGCCUCCCACAUUUCCUCCCAUGUGGCACGGGCCAACAAUGGAUGGCAGGUCUGCUAAGACAGGAUGUCCUGCUGGCAUCCCCUGGUUCAGGUGACUCAUGGAAGUGCCAUCUUCUGUGUGGAAGGUGCAAACUGGGACCUCUUUCCUGCUCUCUAGGGCCAGCCAGCCCCACUGCACCCUUCAGGCAAAGCCUCAACUUUUGCUCCGUGCUGGUGGAGAGUGGAGAUGAUGCCACUUGGGUGGUCCUGAUCUCGGGUUCUUCACUUGCCCCAGGUCCUCUCCCCUUUGCAACGUGCCAAGCUGAGCGAGGGAAGCAAAGACCCACGUACUCAGAGCAGAUGGAAAGCAGCAGCGUCAGCCCAGCAUCAGCCUCUGCUGCCCCUCAUCUCCUUUUGCGUGUGCCCUGCCCGAUCACCAAGCCACAGCCAGGGAGGGGCGGGUUUUGGGAGAAGUGUCCCUCCCUGAUGUCUCAUCUGUGGCUUUUAAAGCCAGUAGGAGCCUCCUCCCAUCACUGCAUCCCAGGAGAUGCGGCUCCUGCUCAGCCCUAGCCCUCUCACAGAACGAUGAGCACCCCUCGCUCCUCUCUCGGCUGCACGCAGAGCCUGCAGCUGGGCUGGCAGGAGACACCUGAAGAGGAGAUGCAUGGCCCUGCGCCAUUCAGGGCAGCUUUGCCGAGCAGCGGUUGCAGCGGGUGUGCUGCAGGAGGAUGCCCCGGAGAGAGGGCACGUGGCCUCUUUUGGUGCUGGGGUCACCGCUGCCCCUUACCCAGCCCUAACUCUCCUUGGUCACAGCACGCCAGCCCAUGCCUCUGCCUCGCCUGUGUCUCCGUGCAGCUGCCUGGGAGCAGGCUGGCCAUGAGGGAUGAGCUGCAGGAGGCCGGCCAGUGUCUGGCACGGGAACAGGAGCAUUGUCUGCCCAAGGAGGAAGGUGCCGAGUCUUUCCUCUCCCCCGCCCCGCUUCCCGCAGCCCUCAUCCAACAGGAUGGGCGAAGGCAAUGCAGCCUCCCCGGCCAUGCGACAGCAGCGGGUGUGCAGUCACCUGCCCUCCUCUUCCUCCUCUUCCUCCCAGCACUACUCCAGCCCUGGAGCACCAGCAGUGCCAAAAGCGACUAAGCUGGAUGGCCUCUGUGAGCGACCGGCACAAGGAGCGUGGCUGGGAACAGCACAGGGGAUGCUGAGUGCCGGACUCUUCUUUUGGGGACAAUCUUUGGGUGGGAAUGACUUGUUCUGGGGGGGUUUGUGGCAGGGGCAUGGCAUUUGAGGACUUGUCAUCCCCUGACAUCGUGGGGGGCUCCCGCAGCACCUUGUGUGCUGGCAGAGGAGCAGGGCUGGCUGCCUCCUGCCCUAAGCCCUCCCUGAAGGUUCUCCCGCUGCUUCCCGGAGGUGGCCGUACUCAGGCACCUCGGGUGCGACAGCAGCUCUAGGCAGGGGACCGUGCAGCAAUGCCACCGUCAUUGCUGGGUGCCUGUUUCCAAGGCGCUCUUGCGGGGCAGCCAAAAACCAACAGCUCUUUUGGGCUGUCUUCAGACUGCCCCCUCCCUCCUCGGCUCGCCAGGAGUUGGGCACCUCCAGGGCAAUCCCUGUGCCUGGCUGAGGCAGGGGCUGCAGCUGGAGGCUCGGUGGUGAUGUGGGUGCCUGGGCGAGCCCCAGGGUGAUGCCGGGGACG